AGUGAACGCUGGCGGUAGGCCUAACACAUGCAAGUCGAACGGCAGCACAGUAAGAGCUUGCUCUUACGGGUGGCGAGUGGCGGACGGGUGAGGAAUACAUCGGAAUCUACUUUUUCGUGGGGGAUAACGUAGGGAAACCUACGCUAAUACAGCAUACGACCUACGGGUGAAAGCAGGGGAUCUUCGGACCUUGCGCGAUUGAAUGAGCCGAUGUCGGAUUAGCUAGUUGGCGGGGUAAAGGCCCACCAAGGCGACGAUCCGUAGCUGGUCUGAGAGGAUGAUCAGCCACACUGGAACUGAGACACGGUCCAGAGUCCUACGAGAGGCAGCAGUGGGGAAUAUUAGACAAUGGGCGCAAGCCUGAUCCAGCCAUACCGCGUGUGUGAAGAAGGCGUUCGGGUUGUAAAGCCCUUUUGUUGGGAAAGAAAAGCAGCAGGUUAAUACCCCGCUGUUCUGACGGUACCCAAAGAAUAAGCACCGGCUAACUUCGUG
rnacentral:rRNA from 1 species